rnacentral:rRNA from 1 species
CUCCAACGAGCGCAACCCUGAUCCAGCCAUGCCGCGUGUGUGAAGAAGGCCUUCGGGUUGUAAAGCACUUUCAGCGAGGAAGAACGCCAGGGAAUUAAUACCUCCCUGGAAAGACAUCACUCGCAGAAGAAGCACCGGCUAACUCCGUGCCAGCAGCCGCGGUAAUACGGAGGGUGCAAGCGUUAAUCGGAAUUACUGGGCGUAAAGCGCGCGUAGGUGGCUUGAUAAGCCGGUUGUGAAAGCCCCGGGCUCAACCUGGGAACGGCAUCCGGAACUGUCAAGCUAGAGUGCAGGAGAGGAAGGUAGAAUUCCCGGUGUAGCGGUGAAAUGCGUAGAGAUCGGGAGGAAUACCAGUGGCGAAGGCGGCCUUCUGGACUGACACUGACACUGAGGUGCGAAA